GCCGGGUGUGGUGGUGGGCGCCUGUAAUCCCAGCUACUUGGGAGGCUGAGGCAGGAGAAUCACUUGAACCUGGGAGGCGGAGGUUGCAGUGAGCUAAGAUUGCACCACUGUACUCCAGCCUGGGUGACAGAGUGAGACCUUGUCUCAA
rnacentral:SRP_RNA from 1 species